rnacentral:tRNA from 1 species
GCUACGGACUUAAAAUCCGUCGACUUUUAAAAUCGUGAGGGUUCAAGUC